ACGGAGGAAAGAAACCAACAGGGAUUGCCCUAGUAACGGCGAGUGAAGCGGCAACAGCUCAAAUUUGAAAUCUGGCCCUAGCGGUCCGAGUUGUAAUUUGUAGAGGAUGCUUUUGGUGAGGUGCCUUCCGAGUUCCCUGGAACGGGACGCCGGAGAGGGUGAGAGCCCCGUACGGUUGGACGCCAAACCUCUGUAUAGCUCCUUCGACGAGUCGAGUAGUUUGGGAAUGCUGCUCUAAAUGGGAGGUAAAUUUCUUCUAAAGCUAAAUACCGGCCAGAGACCGAUAGCGCACAAGUAGAGUGAUCGAAAGAUGAAAAGCACUUUGAAAAGAGGGUUAAAUAGCACGUGAAAUUGUUGAAAGGGAAGCGUUUGCGACCAGACUUUUUCCAGGCGGAUCAUCCGGCGUUCUCGCCGGUGCACUCCGCCUGGUUGAGGCCAGCAUCGGUUUCCUUAGGGGGAUAAAGGCCUGGGGAACGUAGCUCCUUCGGGAGUGUUAUAGCCCCUGGCGUAAUACCCCUCGGGGGACCGAGGAACGCGCUCUGCAAGGAUGCUGGCGUAAUGGUCGUCAACGACCCGUCUUGAAACACGGACCAAGGAGUCGAACAUUUGUGCGAGUGUUUGGGUGUCAAACCCUCACGCGUAAUGAAAGUGAACGGAGGUGAGAGCCCUUACGGGUGCAUCAUCGACCGAUCCUGAUGUCUUCGGAUGGAUUUGAGUAAGAGCAUAACUGUUCGGACCCGAAAGAUGGUGAACUAUGCGUGGAUAGGGUGAAGCCAGAGGAAACUCUGGUGGAGGCUCGCAGCGGUUCUGACGUGCAAAUCGAUCGUCAAAUCUGCGCAUGGGGGCGAAAGACUUAUCGAACCAUCUAGUAGCUGGUACG
rnacentral:rRNA from 1 species